UCUUACUAGGAUUCUAUCUUAUGACUUGUUUUAAUUUGGUUUCCCAAACCAAAAUUAGAUCAACCUAAUUAAAAUAGGUCUUAACCCAAUUAAGAAUAUAAUUUAAUCAGAUUAAAUUAGAUUUAAAUCUGAUUUAAUUUUUUAAUCAAAUUAGGAAUUAGAUUGACCCAAGUCCUAGUUGAACUAGGACUAAUUUUUUCUUGCACUUGGCUUAUCCAAUAAACCAAUUGGACUUGAUCCAAUCAAGCCCAAAAUAAAUUUAAUUAAAUUAUAUUUAAUUAGACUUAAUCUCAAUCCAUUGGCUUAAUCAAAUUAAGCCAAUCAGCAAUCGAAUUGCUAAUAGAUCCUCCUGCAACACUUGCACUGGGUUAAAUGUCAAUCGUAUUGAUCAUUUAACCCUAGAACGAUUCUUUAUCAUUGAUCAACCAUCUGAUCGGAUCAUAAACUCUAAUGUGUGUGACCUCAUAGGUCCGAACCUAAGCCAGUAGCAUAGGAACAAAUUCUUAUACCAAUCGA
rnacentral:lncRNA from 1 species